ensembl:snRNA U6 U6 spliceosomal RNA
GUGCUUGCUUCGGCAGCACAUAUACUAACAUUGGAACGAUACAGAGAAGAUUAGCAUGGCCCCUGUGCAAGGAUGACAUGCAAAUUCAUGAAGAGUUCUGUAAAAAA